ACUUUUGUUGUCCAUUUUGGUGCUGGAUUUGUUUUCACUAAUAUUCUUUUACUUUUUAAAACAUCAUUUUCUAAGCAUCUAAAAGAUGUAAAAUCUCCAAUGGGUCAUUCCAGAAACGACCCACACUGUGUGAGGUUUUAUAUCAAAUAUAGCAUUUCUCUACUGAAUGUUAUUGUCGAUUUUAGAUUACUUUUCAAAGCGCAGUUCCCAAGUUUGUUGUCAACUUGUCAAUUACAUUCCCAAAUUCGGAAGUUGGGCGGGAACUUCGCAACAAAUUUCGCAAGUGCAUUUCAAAGUUUGAACUUCGAUUGUAAACAAAUGUAAAAAUUUCAUUUAUAAACUUAUUUAAAAAGGCAUUUUCAUCUUGGGAGAACACUGGACCAAUAUUUUACUGCAGUAAUAUGUGCAUUGCUUAUACAGUAAUUUCAAUUCCAACUAUGAACAUUUGUUUACAA